GUGCUUGCUUAAGCAACACAUGUACUAAAAUUGGAACGAUGCAGGGAAGAUCAACAUGGCACCUGCACAAGAAUGACAUGCAAAUUCGUGAAGUGUUCCAGAUUUUU
rnacentral:snRNA from 1 species